rnacentral:rRNA from 1 species
GACGAACGCUGGCGGCGUGCUUAACACAUGCAAGUCGAACGGAAAGGCCCUGCUUUUGUGGGGUGCUCGAGUGGCGAACGGGUGAGUAGCACGUGAGUAACCUGCCCUUGACUUUGGGAUAACUUCAGGAAACUGGGGCUAAUACCGGAUAGGAGCUCCUGCUGCAUGGUGGGGGUUGGAAAGUUUCGGCGGUUGGGGAUGGACUCGCGGCUUAUCAGCUUGUUGGUGGGGUAGUGGCUUACCAAGGCCUUGACGGGUAGCCGGCCUGAGAGGGUGACCGGCCACAUUGGGACUGAGAUACGGCCCAGACUCCUACGGGAGGCAGCAGUGGGGAAUAUUGCACAAUGGGCGGAAGCCUGAUGCAGCAACGCCGCGUGCGGGAUGACGGCCUUCGGGUUGUAAACCGCUUUCGCCUGUGACGAAGCGUGAGUGACGGUAAUGGGUAAAGAAGCACCGGCUAACUACGUGCCAGCAGCCGCGGUGAUACGUAGGGUGCAAGCGUUGUCCGGAUUUAUUGGGCGUAAAGGGCUCGUAGGUGGUUGAUCGCGUCGGAAGUGUAAUCUUGGGGCUUAACCCUGAGCGUGCUUUCGAUACGGGUUGACUUGAGGAAGGUAGGGGAGAAUGGAAUUCCUGGUGGAGCGGUGGAAUGCGCAGAUAUCAGGAGGAACACCAGUGGCGAAGGCGGUUCUCUGGGCCUUUCCUGACGCUGAGGAGCGAAGGCGUGGGGAGCGAACAGGCUUAGAUACCCUGGUAGUCCACGCUGUAAACGGUGGGUACUAGGUGUGGGGUCCAUUCCACGGGUUCCGUGCCGUAGCUAACGCUUUAAGUACCCCGCCUGGGGAGUACGGCCGCAAGGCUAAAACUCAAAGGAAUUGACGGGGCCCCGCACAAGCGGCGGAGCAUGCGGAUUAAUUCGAUGCAACGCGUAGAACCUUACCUGGGUUUGACAUGGAUCGGGAGUGCUCAGAGAUGGGUGUGCCUCUUUUGGGGUCGGUUCACAGGUGGUGCAUGGCUGUCGUCAGCUCGUGUCGUGAGAUGUUGGGUUAAGUCCCGCAACGAGCGCAACCCUUGUUCACUGUUGCCAGCACGUUAUGGUGGGGACUCAGUGGAGACCGCCGGGGUCAACUCGGAGGAAGGUGGGGAUGACGUCAAGUCAUCAUGCCCCUUAUGUCCAGGGCUUCACGCAUGCUACAAUGGCUGGUACAGAGAGUGGCGAGCCUGUGAGGGUGAGCGAAUCUCGGAAAGCCGGUCUCAGUUCGGAUUGGGGUCUGCAACUCGACCUCAUGAAGUCGGAGUCGCUAGUAAUCGCAGAUCAGCAACGCUGCGGUGAAUACGUUCCCGGGGCU